AUUUUGCAGGUGCCAAGGAGAUUGACAUUGCUGCCACCUUAGAACACAUCAGAGACCAGAGAAUGAAAAUGGUUAGAGUGAAGGAACAGUUCCAGUAUUCACUCGCAUUGGUUGCCGAGGAAGUCCACGCAAUCUUGAAAGCUUUGCCUCAGUGAAGACCUGUUUAUCCACGACCCACUGACCCCUCUGCCAA